rnacentral:rRNA from 1 species
UACGGAGGGUGCAAGCGUUAUCCGGAUUCACUGGGUUUAAAGGGUGCGUAGGUGGGCAGGUAAGUCAGUGGUGAAAUCUCCGGGCUUAACUCGGAAACUGCCAUUGAUACUAUUAGUCUUGAAUACUGUGGAGGUAUGCGGAAUGUGUCAUGUAGCGGUGAAAUGCUUAGAGAUGACACAGAACACCGAUUGCGAAGGCAGCGUACUACACAGUGAUUGACGCUGAGGCACGAAAGCGUGGGAUCAAACAGG